UGGAUUAAUGUCCUCUGGAUUGGGCGUUCAGCUGUUAACUGUUAUUUGCGGGAUCGAGGCCCGCUAGUCCUG
rnacentral:tRNA from 1 species